UACGGGGGGGGCAAGCGUUGUUCGGAAUUACUGGCGUAAAGGGCGCGUAGGCGGCCACCGCAAGUCAAUUGUGAAAUCUCCGGGCUUAACCCGGAAAGGUCAACUGAUACUGCGGGGCUAGAGUGCGGAAGGGGCAACUGGAAUUCUCGGUGUAGCGGUGAAAUGCGUAGAUAUCGAGAGGAACACCUGCGGCGAAGGCGGGUUGCUGGGCCGACACUGACGCUGAUGCGCGAAAGCCAGGGGAGCGAACGGG
rnacentral:rRNA from 1 species